CUGUCUUCACUCUUUGACAGCUAGCAUGCAGGCUCGGCCUGUGCCACCCCUCAGCUGGCUGCUGUAGUUGUAGUCGGAAUCUUCUCAUCUCAGAAAGGAUUUGCAGAUCUAUUCUGGGGAAACCCCAUCAUAAAAUCUCAGCACAGUGAUAUUCAGGUGUAAGGAUAAGGCGGGAGCUGGGGCCAGCUGAGAGCAACCAGCAUCUAGGCUCAUCGCUCCUGAAGAAGGCACACGUGGAUAUAAGGAGGCGGUGUUUACAUCUUACCAUCUUACUGGACUCUUCCUGUGAGGCUCCUCACAUCCCUUUAAGAAGAGCAGCAUUUCCCUCGUGUGAAAUGUAGAGGUGAGCUCGGCUUCCUGUUUGCCGGGAGUAUCUAAAGCAGCGGUUCUUACCCUGUGGGUUGAGACCCUCAGAGGGGUCGCAUCUCAGAUGAUAUCCUGCAGUCAGAGAUCCUGCACAUCAGAGACCCUGCAUAUCAGAGAUCCUGCACAUCAGAGAUCCUGCACAUCAGAUAUCCUGCAAUCAGAGAUCCUGCACAUCAGAGAUCCUGCAAUCAGAGAUCCUGCAAUCAGAGACCCUGCACAUCAGAGAUCCUGCAAUCAGAGAUCCUGCAAUCAGAGACCCUGCACAUCAGAGAUCCUGGUUGAUGCUUACCACAAUGCCAAAGGAACUGUAUUAAAGGGUUGCAGCAUUAGGAAGGUUAAAAACCACUGGAAAAAGGCAAAUGUCUGAACAAUAACUGUUUGUCUCUGAAGGCCACAUAGUCCAGUAAAACGUGACAUUGACCCAUUUCAGAUGACUUUGACCCGACUUGUGAAAUAUUAACCUUGACAUUAUUGAGGUACAGCACAUUCUCCCACUGAGGGCCACUACCCACUCUAACGAUACUCUGAAUCAAUCCAAGUCGAAGAAAACUUGCCCAGAAAAACACACAUGCGACUUCCAGGUCCUCCUUGAAAGGAGUCAAGGGAAGAUGAAGAAUUUUGCUUCUUUCAACCAUAAAUACUAGUUUCUUUUCCCCAACACGAGAUUCUAUUAUUUGAGAGUAAUUUCUGCAUGCAUCCUCUGAAAUCCUUAAAGCCCCUUACUGAAGUUCAGUUUCUCCCCUUUUCAUCUCCCUACCAAAGUUGUGGAUACCCAAUCUCGAAUCAGAGAGGGACAAGAAUUGCCUGGAGUCACACAGCAUCUGGCGGUUCCACGAUCCCUCAGUGUUUCUACCUGCUUGUUUGUUUGUUUGUUUUUUUGUUUGUUUUUUUCCCAUUUGUGUCCUAUCUGGCUGAAGCCCCAGCUGCUGCUGCAGUCUCACUCUCUGUGGGAGGUCACAAGCCACCAGCCAUCAGUCCAGUAAGGGAGUGUUCUGUACACAUCUAGCUGCAGCUGGCAUAGAGCUCAGGGGCGGCUGUCCAUCAAGAAGCUGACAAGGGUGGGAGAGGUGCAAACACCAUGUCACUGUCCCAUCGAGUCACUGCCAGCUCAGAAGGACUUGAGAGAUCUGUGCUACUGGCCCCCCAACACCUGCCUGUGUCUCUUCCUGUACUCUAUCCGCAGGAGACAGCCAUGUCAUCCCCUGUUGCACAGUUGAGGGCCAGCUGCAAGCCUAUCCUGAGGCCACCUGUGAUGCUUAUGGUCCAUCAGCUUACUGGCACUCACCUCCCACACCAGUCUGUCACCUGCCUUGCCUUUCGCAGCCCGUGUAGCUCCCUAAUCAGUGAGCUGCUCUUCAAGGCUAGUCUCCUGGCCUUGUGAUUCCUCUCCCAGGGUGUGAACACUCUGCCCUUGCCCUCCAAUCUAUCUGGCAUCGAGAGAAUUCUUGCAGCAGUUUUAGAAAAACAAAAAUCUAUUUGUGUCAUGUUUCUUGUUGCUAGGUUGCUUUUCCUCUUCCUCCUGUUCUUUUGCAAAUAACAAAUGUUUUAGUAUUAAAAUUUACUAGAUUCCUUAAAGUUAUGUAACAGAUUUGUUUGUCUUAUCAUCUAUAUUCUAUUUUAAAAGUAGUCAUUCUUUUUUUGCAAUUUAAAUGCACAAAAAUAUAUACAACCUCCCUACCUUUAUCAACAAAAUGUACCAUCUUUAUUUUUGAAUAGCAAAAGCUUAAUGGUAUGAACUAAAAUGAACAGAUUCAUUU
rnacentral:lncRNA from 1 species